AUGAAAUCAUGUCUAAUGCUUGUUAAUGUUUGCGUAAAACUCCAAAUGAUGCUGUCACUUCACCCAGUAUGUAAUAACACUGUUUGUGAACCUAACUGUGGUCCUUGUCUCACAACUCACCUCCAACUAAGCAAAGAUUUCUAUCAGGUAUGUGUGAAAUGCAGAGAAUGUCCGCACUGCUCAGGUGGUAUUGCACACCAGGUGAAUAAUCUAAGCGGGCUUUUGUCUUCCAGGAUUGAGGAAGAGGAAUGGGACAAAUACAUCGUCCCUUCCAAAACAGAGUCAGAAAAAUGCAAAGUCAGUCGCACGUUCAGCUUUAUAAAGAGCCGGAUGUAUAGCACUCGCAACAAGAACAAGGGGAGAGGAAAAGAGAGAGAGACCAAAGACAAACAGGUCAAUGGACAUCAGUUCACAGCUGGAUCUGUCCUGGGGUCGACACUUUGUGAGAUCUGCGGCAAGCCAGCUCCUGGGAAAGAGGUCCUCCACUGCACAUGUGAGCUUUGCGGUAGCCCAGAAGCAGAUAGUGACGCUCCCCCAUGGCAGAACAAUAUUCAACCAGAGGAGCUCCUCCAAACAUUGGAGUCCUCAACAUCCACUGAUUCUUCUCUUAUUGAAGACUCUGUAGAUUCCCCACUACAGAAUGAGCUGGUAAUGAAUGCUGUGGAUUUGGAGGCGGAGUCAUGGAGUCUAGCGGUAGAGCCCCAGUUCUGUAAGAUGCAAGAAAAACGCAUCGUCAAGAGACAGGAUGUCAUCUACGAGUUCAUGCAGACCGAGCUCCAUCACGUACAGACGCUCGUGAUAAUGGCGGAGGUCUUCAGGCGGGGAAUGCGGGAAGAAGUCGGACUGGAUGCGGACACUAUUGAUCGGAUUUUCCCUUGCUUAGAUGAGCUGCUUCUCCUCCACCGUGACUUCCUUUCAGCGAUGAAGGAACGGCGGCAAAGCUGCAUUCAGCCCAACAGCCGCAAGAACUACCUCAUCCACCAUGUGGGUGACAUCUUUCUGCAACAGUUCUCCCAGGAAAAUGCAGAGAAGAUGAAGCAGGUGUAUGGCGAGUUUUGCAGUCACCACACAGAAGCGGUCAGCUACUUCAAAGAGCUUCAGCAGCAGAAUAAGAGAUUUCAGCUCUUCAUCAGAGUGAGAAGUAGCAACUCCUUGGUAAAAAGACGAGAAAUCCCAGAAUGCAUCUUGCUAGUGACGCAGAGAAUUACAAAGUAUCCCGUCCUCCUGGAAAGAAUCCUGCAAUAUACAGAGGAGGGCACAGAAGAGCAUGCUGACCUCUCCUGUGCACUAGUCCUGAUCCGAGAGCUGAUCUCCGCUGUGGACCAGUGCGUGAGUCAGUGCGAGCAGAACCAGAAGCUGAGUGAGGUCCUGGGCCGCAUGGAGAACAAGUGCUCAACUAAACUGAAGAGUGGAAACCCCUUCCGCAAGCAGGACAUCACCAGUGGCAGAGCUCUGCUGCACCAGGGCCCUCUGCUCUGGAAGACAGCCACAGGAAGACUGAAAGAUGUUCUGGCGUUUUUGCUGUCUGAUUCAUUGGUGUUCCUUCAGGAGAAAGAUCAGAAAUACAUCUUUGCUGCUGUGGACCAGAAGCCUCCGGUGAUCUCUCUGCAGAAGCUGAUUGUGCGUGAGGUGGCCAAUGAGGAGAGAGGCAUGUUUCUGAUCAGCGCGUCUUCAGCUGGUCCUGAGAUGUAUGAGGUGCACGCUGCUUCUAAAGAUGAACGAAAUGCCUGGAUGAGACUCAUCAGAGAGGCUGUGGAGAGUUGCCCUGAAGAGGAGGAUGAAACCACAAGUGAGUCAGAAGAGGAAAAGAGAGUCACAGAGGCAAAGGUCCAAAAGAUCCACAGGCUAAAAGAAUCUUUGUGUGGCCACGAUCACCUCAUCUGUGCAAAUCUGGAGGAGAAGCUACACAUCUAUCAUAUCAUGGCAGGAGAAAGUGAGACAGGACCAGAGCCCAGACUGCUGGUCCGGCCCAGCACUGAAGACAUCCCUCAGGCUGGAGUACUGCUCAGCGCUGCUCUUAUAGAGGGUGAGAGUCCAACGAGGGAAGCAUAUCCAUAUUUACAUUACCAUUCAAAACAGUGCAGUUUUUUUUUUUUAUUCAGCAAGGAUUCAUUAAACUGGGCAGAUGUGACUGUUUAUUUUGGAGUUGUUCACUUUGUCACUCAUUGUUUGUUUGUUGUCUUAAUGCAGGUGAGUCAGAGUGUGCAGAGCUUGACUCAGCUGCUGUAUAGUCUACAGGCCGCAGUCACCAUCCAAGACAGUUGCUAUGAAGUCCAGAGGCUCCUCCUCUUCCUGUUAGCAAGCCCCUCCCCUCACCAACACUCCCGCCCACUGCCCAUCACUCGCAGCAACCAGACCCUGCAGGAGCAGGAGCGUCAGCGGGAGGUGGAGCGCCGGCGAGAGGAGCUGGCGGAUGUGGCCCGUCUACGGGGCGCCCUGGUACGAGAGCGUCAGCAGUGGGAACGGGAGAGCCAGGUGAGGCAGCUUCAGCAGUCAGACCUGGAGGCAUCACUGGAGCAGAGGGAGGUGGUGUGCCACCUAGAGGAGCGGAGACUACAGAGUGAGCAGCAGGAGCUCCAAGAGCAGCUGCAGGAGUACCAGCAAAGCCUGGAGAGGCUGCAAGAAGGCCAGAGAAGUGUGGAAAAGGAGAAGGAGAAGCUGGAUGCCCAGCGGAGGCUGCUGGACAGUUUGAGGCAGGGCUACCAGCAGAACCUCCCAGCUAUGGUGAUACCACUGGAUGGACAGCAGACACAGGUGAUCAUCAUGGGAUGGGAUGGAAAUGUAUGGUCUGCGUUGAUGUAG
ensembl:lncRNA